AGGUUCAGCAUCAAAAGGAGAACAUCAUGGUUUUCACAAGUGGCCACUUGUUUUCACACUAACAGAGUAAAAACUGGAAUCAAAUCAGGAAAGGGAAGACCUCAAGCACAGUUUUAAAUUCCUUGGAGAAUUAGGAGCCCUGGCCACUGUUACCCGUAUGUGCUGAGGACCAUCGUUACCUGUCUGAGCUGAGAACCAUAGUUGACCCUCUGGGAAGUGAGACCUCCAUUACUUGGGGUGAACUGAGACCAUCUGAUACCUAAGCAAGAGAAACAGUUACUUACCAUGGUGAGCAAAGAUAGCCUUUAUCUCGGAGAGCUGGGAACCAUUGUACACAGAGAUCAGAGACUGCUGUUAUCUAUAGGAGCUAAGAUCAUGUGACCUGAGUGAACUGUGACCCUGUUCCAUGGGUUAUCUGAGACUACUGUUGUCUGUGUGAGCUCAGAAUCAGAGCUACCUAGGAAAGCAGAGCCUCCCAUCACUUGGGUGAGCUGAGGACCACUGUUAGCUGGAGACCAGGCAACCACUGUCAUGGGUGAGCUGAGAACUGCUGUUACCUAGAGAACAGGGAAGCAUUGCUCUGGGUCACAUGAGGAUGACUGUUACCUGGAGACCAGAUAAACAUUGCCAUGGGUCAGAAGAGGACCACCGUCACCUGGAAACCAGGGAACCACUGCCAUGGAUGAAGAGAGAACUGCUGUUUUUUGGAGGAUCUGAGAACAACUAUUACAUGGG